rnacentral:piRNA from 1 species
UGUACCUCAAAGGACCUGGGGUGGUGAA